GGCAAUCACCGUAUAGUUAUAAAGAACUCUCAAUAAGUAUGCAAGGCAUCUUAUCAUGUUAUCAUAAAGCAACAGCAGAAUAAUUAAUCAAUAAUUUAAAUUCAAACUUUAACAAUUUAAAUUUUAACCUUGAUAUUUCAUUAAAUUUAAUAAUAUUCAAUAGAUCUUACAUCAAAUUUAAUAAGACUUCUUCAAUCUAAAAUAAAAAUACUGAGGCUCUGCUUCUAAUAACUCUCCUGCACAUAUCUCGUAUCAUCUUAGUUUCUUAAGACCUGUAAAAAUAGUAAAAUGAGAGGUAAUGAGUUAGACAUCCCAGUAAGCAAUAAUCACUUAAUUUAGAUUACAUCAGAUAAUAAAAUAAAUAAUUAUUUAUAGAGAAUAAGUAUGUAGAGUUCAUCAAUGCGAAAUCAAUUUCAAUUAUGCAACAUAGUUCAUGCCAAAUCCAAUACUUUUUAAAAAAAUUAAGUUUCUUUCAAGCAUCUAAUUUCUUUUAUCUUAAUUUUUUUUGUCAACUAGGAGCUAUGAUCAUAUUUUUUCUAUGAUAGGUUCAUAACACCACAUAUCAUCUUGUGUGGACUGCGAAUCAUCUGAUAGCAAAAUCCUUCGAAACUGCUGAUCUGCUGGUGGUUUGUUGCUGGUUUGCUGGCGAUGUAAACCUUCAAGAUAAAUCAAUUGCCAAUAUAUUAGUCCCCGUUGACAGGAUCUUUUACAUAGUCAGGUUAUCAAUUUAUAUCAUUUUUAAAUCAAAAUUUUUCAUAAAUCAUAUUUCUUAUUCUAAUUCAAUAGAAAUACACAUAAUCAUAUGGUAUCGAAAUUAAUCAAUAUGAUGCAUAACAAAAUCAAUACAUUCAAUCAUGCUUCAUCAUAACAUUUCAAAAUAAUAUAUUUUCAACAACAAAAUAUCAUUCAUCAAAUUCAUGCAUCGUUUUUCAAAUUAUGUUAGAAAGAUAUAUUAUAAUUUAUCGAUAAAUUUUGAAAAAAUAAAAUAUUAUUUACCUCAUACAUAUUCUAAUAAAUCUAUAUAAUCGCAUAAAUUCAUUUUUAAAAUUUAUUGUGUUCCAAUAAAUCUACAUAAUUUUAAAAAAUUCUUUCCAAAAUCUUCUGUUCAUAAAUUAUAUUGUGAUAUCCCAUGAUCAAAUAUCCAGAAUCCUAUAUAGGUUCAAGUCUAAUAAUUAGAAAGGGUAUGAAUAAUUAAAAAAGAUAGAAUUAAUGGAUAGUUCAUCCAACGGUCUAAAUGGGUCCGGUCAUCUAAUUUCAUUCGAUCAAGAUCCAAUUAAGACAUAAAUAGUUCAGAAAAUGACUAUUUAGGUCAAAUCAGAUUCAAAUUGAUAUGAUCGAAAAUUUUUCAUUGAGUUCAUAAAUCAAAUAGAAGGAGAAAAUCAGAGGAGAGAGAAUUCAUAAGCUACAAUCCAAAUUGAUCAGGUGACAAAGUCCAACAUCUCGAUUGAUCCAAUUAAGAUGAUUUAAAUUAAAAUAAUAAUUAAAUUAUUCUAUGGAUAAUUUAAUAAAAUCAUAAAUGAUAAAAUUUAAAAAUAUUUAAUUCGAUCAAGAUGAUUAUCAAUAUGCCGAUCAAUGAUGAUAGGUCAACUCUUCUACCAAAAUCAUUCAAAUUUUUAUUAAAUUAAUCUUCAUUCUAAAGAGAAAAAAUUAUGAAAAGAGAAAUAAUUUAGAAAAAAAAAAAGAUAGAGAAGGAAGAGAGGANNNNNNNNNNNNNNNNNNNNNNNNNNNNNNNNNNNNNNNNNNNNNNNNNNNNNNNNNNNNNNNNNNNNNNNNNNNNNNNNNNNNNNAGUUAAUUUUUUUUCUUUUUUUUUUUCUUUCUUUUUUUUUUCUUCACGGAAGAGAGGACGCGUCCUCUCUUCCUUUCUCCCGAAACAUGAACAGGGGAGUCAUCUCCCCCCAUUCCACGCCUCACCGGAGGCCAUCCCCCGGCCGAGCACGCUCGUGGCCGGAGGGGCAGUCUCCGGCGAAGCCUACCGCCGGGUCCGGUGACUGGCGGCGGCCCACAGCAGCGGUUCGCAGCGGAAGAAAAGGAAAACAGGGGAUCUGUGAUUCCCUUCGUUUCUCUUUCGAUUCCACUGGGAUCUCGCCGGAACCAGGUGGCCGGAGCUUCGUCCCAAGGCUGCACACCGGCGGCUUCCCCGAUCCUGGGCUUGUCGGCGUCGGAUGGCGCCGGACGGUGCCGGAAACUCGAUGAACAAAGGCCGGCCAAACAGGGGAUUCAAAAAUUUUAUUUUUUUCAAAAAAAUCCUAGAUUAAAUCCCAUAAAUUUCUGUUAUAUUUUAUAAUAAAUUGAAAAGAGGAAGUUUUGAGGGAUUUACCUUGCUUUUGGUGGUGUUGUGGCCAGGGAUUCGCCGGCACAACUUCUUGAAUCCGAGAACGAAGAACAAAGAAAACGAGAGGGAUUAGAGAGAGAGCAGGGAUUGUCUAACGAUGAACGGCGAUCGGAGCAGUGGGCGUUCGAAGGGAGGGCACGACCACCAGCGGGCGAUUUUCUUGGUGGUCAUUAAUUUCCCAGGAUUGCAGUGCGGCGCCGGCCCAAAAAGGUCUUGGUUCGUUGUGUGGAUUAUCUACAACGAAUAGGUACUAUAGCAAACCACGAGCACUUUAAUAUCUGUGCGCAAAUGUGAUUUGGGAUCACCAUCGCCCGGCUGUCUCGUGGCCAAGCACCGUAAUAAUUUUCCUUUUUUUGCAAUGCUUCUGGUAGAUUGGUCCCCGUCGUAUCUUUCACGAUUGAU
rnacentral:lncRNA from 1 species